UGCUAGUCCUCACUGCACAGGCUGGGAGGCCAUGCGCAGUGCGCCGGCGCAAGAGUGUGGGGGCGGGCCUUCCAGCGUUAGGAUCUGACUACAGCCCCACUGCUCUGCGAGCCACCCGAGGCCCCAGGUCCCGGAGGACUAAGAAGCGUCGUCACGCACUGGGGAGGGGCCAGAGCUGCCUGAGGGGCGGAGGCGUCGGGUUGACCCCUGCCCCCAUGCUGUGUAACCCCGCGUCAGCCAUCAGCUUCUCCGGGCAUCAGCUGCCUCCUCUGUACGAUGAGAAGAGCCGCCCGAUGGCCUCCACAGCCCCUUCCAGGCCCGCCUCGAUGACCCCUAGAUGGCAGGAGCCGGGCCCGGGGCGGGUCUGGAGCUGGAGUUGCAGCUGGUGCAGAGUUAGUGUGUCCAGAGGGACCCUCCUUCGCCUCGGGGACAAGGUCUGGCUGGUCGGGACUCCGGCCUCGCCUCAGCGAGGAGAGCCAAGGACCCGGAGGGCGUGAGCUGCUGCGGGUACUGGCCCCCGGGACCUCCUACUAUUUUUCGCCAUACCACAAGGCACAGUGCACAGAACGUGGGACCUCAAGUCAGGAAGACCCAACUCAAAUCUGAUCUCUUACACAGUGUGACCCUGGGAGAGUCACUUACCUCUGUUUGCCUCAGUCUCCUUAUCUAUAAAAUAGAUGUAUAAAUAGAAAAACCUAAAGAUUUAUAAAUCUUGUCUAUGGAAUCUAAAGUAGAUCUAGAAUAUAUCUGUAUAUAUAAAAUAGAUUUCUAAAACAGCAACUACCCCCAAGGCUGUUGUGAGGAUCAGCUGAGAAACUAAUUGUAAGGUGCCUAACACAGUGCCUGGAACAUUAAUAGGCACUAUAGCAAUGUUAGCUAUUAUUAUCCUUCUUCAAGGCUGUCUACCUUUGUACCGAAGUUACUGUUAAAGGAUACAUAAAUAUUAAAGGAUAUUUCUGUACUGUUAAAGGAUAUGUGAUUUAAUAUAAAAUUACUCAUUGAGCUCCUCAUUGAAUUUCUCUGCCUCAAUUGUACAGAAACAGAUGCUGGCCCAGAAGUUAGUGCUAUCUUUUUGUUACAUAAAUAUGUGUGUAUCUAUGUGCUUGUAGAAAUAAUUGGUCUUGAAUUUGCUAUAUUAUUUGAAAAGAAGUACAGUAGCUUUUCUCUAGCAACAUUUAGUAAGCAGCAAUCAUUUCACUUUCAUUUAUAUAAUUUCUCUUUAAACAAUUUAUGAAUGUAUUUUUAUUUUAUUUAAAAUUUAUUUUUAAAUAAUUUAUGAACAAAAGUGUAAACAUUAACCAAAUGUAUCAUUUUCAUCAAGUUUAUAUUACAAUCUAAUUUUAAAAUAAUUUCUGAUGAGCAUAAUUGCAGACCUCAAAAUGGUUCAAGUUUAUAUGAUUUUAUUUUUAAUCCCUUAUAAACAUAAGUGUACAAUCAAAAUGUUUAAUAUUUUUAAUUCUUCGUGAACAUAACUGUAACUAACAAAAACACAUAAAUGCAGAUUUAAUUAUUUGCUUCGGAAUACAAGAAUCUCUUUGUGUAAAAGUGUUAAAACAAAUAAUUUUUUUUUUCAUAUAAACUUUUAUAUUUCCCCCAUUCAGUCUUAAAGAUGUAUGCAGAAACUUUGGCAUUCAUUAAUUGUGUCCAUGGUCAACUCAAUUUUUCUGACUUUGCAUUCUUUGCUUUAUAUGUUUCAGAGAAGUCUUUUUGAGUUUCCUUCUAUUCCUAAUCCAUUUUAACUAUAUUUUAUAACAUUGUUACCAGUUAUUCUGCCAUUCUCUAAUUGUUGUACAUUUCCUGUGUCUUCUUCCCCACCCCAUGCCCCAAAAACAAAUAAUUGAAGACAGUUUUUCCUACCCUGUAAUAUCUGGAUAUAUUCCCAAUAAUAGGAUUAUUGGAAUAAGAAUAUGAUUGUUUUUGCAAGUCUUGCAGUAUACUACUACCAGAUCUUUUAAAAAGAUUCUACUCAUUUAAAAUUCAUCUUAUAGUCUUUGUACUUGUUUUUCCAUAUCUCUGACUCCAUUAGUCAUCAUUUGAAGCUAUUUUUACAAUUUUGAUCAUUAGUAAGUGGUAUUUCUCUUUGUGUUAGUGAGCUUGAAUAUUUUUGCUAAGGUGAUAAUUUACACUGUUUUUCCUCUUUUGAGAAUUCCAUUGACAUCUGUUGUCCAUUUAUCUGUUAAGAACUGGUUUUUGUUUUCAAUAUUUUUAUACUUUUAAAUUUUAGUUUCCCUGAAGAGAUUUGAGAAUAUACCUCUCCCUACUUCUUUACAGAACUGGAUGGGAUAAGAAUCCCCAGGUAUGAAAUAUAUUGACUAUAUUGUCAGAUUUUAUGAUGCACUGAUUGAUUAUGCUGAUUUUUUUUCCUCUUCCUCUUUUUCUUUUUUGAAGAAUUCUUUGUUAUAAGGGAUGGCUCUCUGGGACAGAAAGAUACAGUGAUAUGAGGAAAAUUUAGGUGAUGCAAAAGCAAAAGAUAAAAUUAAUUUUAAAAAGUAUAUGCUGGAUAGGAUUUAUCACUUGUUUAUAUGGGUAUAUUUGGGGUUUGGGUUUUAAAAGAUUAUUCUUUUACAAAAAUGAAUAAUAUGAAAAUAGGUAUUGAGUGAUAAUACAUGUAUAAUUCAGUGGAAUUGCUUGUCAGUUCGGGAAGAGGGGAGGGGGAGAAUAUGAAUCCUGUGACUAUGGAAAAAUACCUUUAAAAAUUAAAAAAAAAAUUUUUAAGUGUAUGUUAGGGGAGCAGCUAGUAUUCCAUGGAUAGAAGAUUAGGCCUAGAAAUAGGAGAUCCUGGAUUCAAAUGUAACUUCUGGCAUUUCCCAGCUAUGUGACCCAGGACAAUUCACUUAAUCCCAAUCACCUAGCCCUUACCACUCUUCGGCCUUGGAACCAAUAUUCAAUAUUGCUUCCAAGACAGAAAGUAAUGGUUUAAAAAAAAAAAAGUAUAUGUGCAAGCCCAAGAGCUAGUAUCAUGCAUAAUGCAGAAACAUUCAAAGCUUUCCUAAUAUAAACAGGAGUAAAACAAGGAUGUUUCUUCUCUUUAUUAUUAUUAUUAUUAUUAUUUUUAAAAAAAAACCCUUACCUUUCAUAUUAGAAUCAAUAGUGUGUAUUGAUUAGUAAACAGUAAAGGUGAGACAAUGGGGGUUAAGUGACUUGCCCAGGGUCACAAAGCUAGGAAGUGUCUGAGGCCAGAUUUGAACCCAGGACUUCCCAUCUCUAGGCCUGGCUUUUGAUUCACUGAGCCACCUAGCUACCCCUUAUUUUUUACUUACUAUUAUUUGAUAAGGAUUUAGAAAAGCUAGAUUCGGCCUUUAGGCAAGACAUAAAGAAAAAGUUUACAAAUUGGCAGAGGAGACGUAACGAACUGUAUUUACAAAUAGCUGAAAGCUUUACUAGGUGAUUCAAUGGAUAGAGAACCUGGAAUUGUGUGUGGGGAAAAAAUGACUGAAGUGUUCAUUCUCUUUUCUGCUGAGCAUAUACCAGUGGAAGUCAAAGAGAAAAAAAGUCCAAUAUAUGCAAAAAAUAAGAAUAAUAGUUCUUUUAGUGAUAGCAAAGACCUGGAAACAAAGUUGAUACCUAUCAGUUAGGCACCAAUGGAACAAAUUCUGCUUUAUUAUUAUAAUGGAGUGUUACUGUAUAUUAGGAUUGACAAAUAAGAAUUUAGAGAAUCAUGGAAAGAUCUAUAUGAAUUCCUAUAGAAUGAAAUAAUACCAAGAGAAAAACAUACAGAUUGAUCACAACAACAUAUGAAAAGAAUGCUGAAGGGCAGCUAAAUUCUAAGUAGUUGUAAAAACAAACUUUGGUCUCAGAAAAGAUCGGAGAGGGGGCAGCUGGGUGGGGCUCAGUGGAUUGAGAGCCAGGCCUAGAGAUGGGAGGUCCUGGGUUCAAAUAGGACCUCAGACACUUCCCAGCUAUGUGACCCUGGGCAAGUCACUUGACCCCCAUUGCCUAGCCCUUACCAAUUACUGUGCCAAUACACAGUAUUGACUCUAAGACAGAAGGUGAGAGUUUUUUAAGUUUAAAAAAAAAAAUCAGCUUCAGAGAUGAAGUUGAUCAUGGAUGUAGAAGUUGACAGAGAUUGCUCGACAUUAACUGUGCUGGUCAUUUGUUUCUUAACUACUGUAAGAGAGUAGAGCAAAAGAGUAUCCAAAAAUGACAUAUGAAAAAAAGAUAAAACUCAAUUCAAAGAAUUCUUAGAUAUUCUACUUUUACCUGUAUAUUUGUCAUAUUUCCCCAGUUUAUUUUUAAUUUCCAUUUUAUUUUUCACUGUAGAGAUUUUUCAUUUUUAAGCAGCCUAGUAUAGAUACUACUACUACUUGUUUAAUAAUUAUAUCUUUGUAUAUUUUAGGAAAACAUUCUAUCACUGUAUUUUUAUAACUUUUUCUGUCUACAAAUCAUCCUUUACUUAAUGAUAUAUAUUAUGAGGUUUGGAGUUACACUUUAAAUAAAGAAUCCUUUUUCCACUUUUUUAUUUUCAACAGAUAUUUUAGUAACUCAUCUUUUAUAUGUGUUUAGUUUAAUGCCAUGUUUAUUUAUUUGUUUGUUUUUGUUUUUUUGCUCAAUACUAGUUACUUUUGAUUAAAACUUCUUUAAUAAUUUUAAAAUUACAAGUCCCCCAUAAUCUGCUUAAUUUUUUUGUUUGAUUGUUUCAUUUUUGGUAUUUCUGUGCACGAUGCUUGAUAAGUGCUUACUAGAAGCUUGUUUGAUUUUGAGUAUAUAGGAACACAAAUUUUUUUGUGGAUUUAUCUAGUUUCCUCCUACUUUUAAAAUUGCUAUGUAUAGGGUUCCAGAACUAUUUAAAAAAAUAUAUUAUCUGAAUGCCUUAGCAUCCAAGUUCAUAAAAGAAAAAUUAAACAUAAGAAGACAGAGAGGAAACUUUAAUAUCCCUCUCUCAGUUCUGGACAAUUCCUACAGAAAAAUAAACAAAAAGGAAAAUACAGAAUUGAACAAACUGCCAGAGAAACUUAAAAGAUUUAAGGCAUCUUCUAAAUGAGCCUGCUAAAGAAUAUGCAUAUUUUAGAUUUAUCAUUAUUUAUUAGAUUGUGAAUGUAGGUUGGAGAGAGAAACACAAAAUCACCUCAAGUCUUCUUACACUAGCUAAGAGCCCCAUUGCUUCCUUGAUCCCUAAAUUAUAACUCUGAUGACAUCACUUCUCUUGGAUCUCUCUGGUUGGACAUACUUGUCCUCAAGUCAAGGUUAGAGGCCAGUCUUCCCAACUCCAGGAGUCAUGUGGGACCAGAGAUAAACAUCUCUUGGGACAUGAUGGAGCCAGAGGCCUCUCUUUUUUGUUCCCAAUUCAAUCAAUAGGUUGGGGUGAGACUGAAAUGUUUUUCAAAACUUUCCUUUUAGAAAGGAAAGAAGGGGUACAAUUUUUAUUAAAUUCACAUAUACAGCACCUGAAAAUUGGCUCAAGUAUUAGGGCACAAAAAUUUUGCAAAAAUAAACAUAAAAAGCCAGAAAUAACAAGUACAUUCUUUAUAGAUCUGAACACAAUAAAAACAGUAAUCAGUUCAGGUCGCACAAACAAAAAUCAAAGACUUAAAUGGAGAAUUAUCAAUGAAAUCCUAAAUAAUGAGUAGGUGAGCAAGAGCAUCUAACAUAAAAUACUAAUUGAUUUUAAAUAAAUUCUUUUUACCUUAUGAAGAAAAAGUCUUUAUUCCUAUGAUUUAAAUAAAAAUAACUGCCUAUUAUAUAUUGUCAAGAGCUCUGACUAUUAAUAUUGUGAUUUUAUUCUUUUGUUAUAGUAGCUUAUGUUCACAGUUUUAAAAUAUUAAACCAACCCUGCAUUUCACAUAUAUGUAUAUACAUAUAAUCUAGGAUUUUAAAAUUUUGUUUGUUACAUUAAAUUUUCUGUCUCCCCACCUUCCCUCUCCAUACUAGAGAAGAUAUUGUUUAAUAAAAACAUAGAUGUGUGUGUUUUGUGUAUAUGUAUGUGUAUAUAAAGCCGUGUCAUUCAUGUUUCUGCUUAUCAACUCUCUCUGGAGGUGAACAUUCACAGUUAUUCUUCAAAGAAUAUUUCUGUUGCUGUAUAUAAUAUUCUCUGGAGUCUGCUCAUUUCAUUCAUAAUUUCAUGUAUGUGUGUGUGUGUGUGUGUGUGUGUGUGUGUGUGUGUGUGUGUGUUUUAAUCGACUAGACCACUUCUGGGCUGGGAGCAGGAGCCUCUGACAUUGUGAUUUAGGAUUUGGGUUUUUAUUCACCUCUACUGCUGUGUAUCUACUGGAUUAUUGGCCUGGAGCAUCAAUCAAGGACCUACAUUGGCUUUUGGCUCUAAACUCUCUUGACACUAGCAAUUUCUGUUCCUACUACCACUUCUGAGCCUACAUUGUUUGCUUCCAUAGCACACUCUAUCCUUCCACUAUCUUCUGCCCCAAGCCUUUUGGUUGGGGCCCCCCCACUUCAGUUGAAGUCUUGGAGUGCUAGGAUUAGGAUUAAAGCUUUCUAGAUCAGUAGUGCAGCUAUUUCCUACCACUACUAAGACUUCAGUUUCUACCUUGGGCUUUGCUUUGAAUCUGAAGCCCCUGACAGCACUGCCAGGUAUUAGUGUCAUUCCUUUCACCAAUGCUACUUUGUCUUUAGUGAUCACAACUGCAAGGCCCACAAUGGAUCAGAUUACCCCAGCCCAUAACUGUGUACUCAGCUGGGAAGUUUGAUCAAUAAAUAGAGUUUGGUAUUGGAAGACCAGGAGAAAUACUUCCUUCACCAAGCUAUCCAGGUGAAUGUAUGGGACCAGACAUUAAUUCAAAACAGUGAGAGGAUUACUUCUUUACAAUGGACCAGAAAAGGUUGAACCAAGAACUAGGCUUCAUCCUGUCCCACCAGAAGGAGCUAGAGGAUCUGCUGGCCCUAUGGAGGAGGCUGUGAAGGAGAAGAGUGGGACCAUUGAUGCUUAGCUGAAGUGCAUGGCCCAGGACCUCAAGGAUGUCAUCAAGAACCUGAAUGUGUAUGGAGGGCUCCCCAACAUCAAUGACCCACUCCAGUAGGUCUGUAAGAUUUUGAAUGCACAUAUGGACUCACAACUUUUAUAAUUAAAAUUUUUGGGUUUAAGCUGUAGCAGGUAAAAAUUAGUUUCUCUCUAGAAGUAUAUUUUUAGAGGUUUAUUUAAGAUUAAGAGUUUAAAAAAUACAAGAAAGGCACGUGUUUAGGUGGGCCCAGAGGCCCAUUCAACCUCGCCAACAUCAUGAAAGACCCCUCUGCUUGCAAGCGGAAACAGGAAGAGUCCCAGCUGUAGGCGGAGACUCUUUAAAUAAUAAAUUUGCUCUCCACCCAGGUGAGAAUUUCAGUGAGAUUACAAAGCAUUUUGGGAAGUGAGCAAGGACUUCUGGGGAUUGGAGUCCUGGGUUCAAGUCUCCAUUUUUACACUCCAGGGGAGUUCGUAUGUGCAUUCAAAAUCAGAAUUCAAUCUCCUUGGAGCAGAAGAUAGAAGAGAUAUCAAAAUUUGUGAGUUGUCACAAGGAACAGGAACACAGUUACUGGAUGGUCUGACUAAAGGUUUUAGGCUACAAAUUGAAUAAAACAUACCAUUAUUACUUGUUUCAGUUUUCAUUAUGAUAAAGUUUGUUGGUAUUCUUUUCUCAUUCUAAAGCUUAAGUAAAAUAUACUUGGUAUCUAUUACAUUUAAUUCUUGUUACACUAAAGUUUGUGGGUAUAUUUUUCCCACUCUGGAAAUAUUGAGUAAAAUAUACAUAUUGCACUUAUUUUCAAAGUUUGAACAUUUUUUUCUAAUUUUAGAAAUCUUGAGUAAAACACAGUAACCAUCUACUGCAAUUAAUUUUUGUUACAGUAAAGUUUGUGACAUUUUUCCCAUUGCAAAUCUUUAAGAAGAAAGAAGAGAAAACUAUACUGUAAUCUUGCAUGUUAUGUCAAAAUUUUGUGAAUCUCUUUAUCCUCAUUAAAUUAGUUACAUCACUUUGUGAAGUUUUCAGAAAAAUAAAUUAAUCAGCUCACCAUUUCUUACAGUACAGUAGUAUUCCAUGACAAUCAUAUGCUAUAACUUGUUCGGACAUUCCCAUCUUGGCUUUUUUGCACAGGUCUAUCAUCUAUUUGUGUGGAUUCCUGCUCAUAAGGCACAGCUACGUCAUAUGAUAGGGCACUGGACAUGGAGUCAGGAAGACCAGAGCUCAAAUCAGGCCCCAGAUGCCUAAUGACUAUGACCCUAGGCAAGUCACUUAACCUUUUUCUGCCUCAGAUUCCUUAUCCUUAAAUGAAGAUAAUAAAUAGCACCCACCUCUGAGACUUAUUGUUGGGAUAAAAUGAGAGAAUACUUGUGAUACUCUUUGCAACUCUUACAGCACUCUAAUUGUUAGUGAUGAUGAUGACAUCCUCAAUCCCUCCAGCUGCUAAUGCUUCCCUCCGGAGUUAGAUUAUGUAAGGCAGGAGUACAUGUUUCAUCUGAUGAAUGAGAAGUUAUAAAGGGAUAACAUAAAAGCCCAAGUGUAGGUUGGGACAAGUUAUGAUAGACUCUAAAUGUCAAACAGAAGCUUAAGUUUGAUUCCAGAGUUAGGGUGUCAUUGGAAUCUGAGUUGGGGUGUGACAGAUAUGUGCUUUAGCAAAACCACUUUGGUAAUUGUGUGGGGCAGAUAUGUCAAACUCAGCCCACUGUUGCAAGCAGAUAGACAUUUCUGGUUUUCCAAGUCAAUGUACACCUACAGAGAUCUAUUUCUGAUGUGGAAGAUGAAGUGGAGUUGGAAGAGAUGAGGCUGGGAGGUCAUUUAAGAGGCUGUUAGAAUAGAGCUGGCUAGAAAAGAUAGAGUCCAAGUUAGGGUAGUGGCUGGUGAGUAGAAACUGAUGUAAGAGAGGUGAUAGAAUGACAAGAUUUGGCAAUAUUUUGGAUGUGUGUUGAGAAAGUUCAGGAUGACAAGUUGCAAACCAGAGUGACUUAAAGAAUGGUGGUGGCCCUGGCAGAAAUAGGAAAGUUUGGGAAAAGAGUGAAUCUGGAGGGAAUAAAUUUUGUUUUGAACAUGUGGAGUUGGAGAUGCCUAUGGGACCUCCAGUUUGAAAUGACCAAUAAGCAGUUGGUGUAGCAAGAGUGUAACUAAUGAGAGAUUUGAGCUGGAUCUCAAGAUUCAAGAGUGAUUUACCCAUGUGAGAUGAUGAGGUCCCUGAGAGAAAGAGGGAGAGAGAAGUAGAAAGCCCAAGAUAGCCUGAAAUAGUAUUGAAAUGAAAGAAACAACUUGGGAAAGAGUAGUAUCAUCUUAGUUAGACAUUAUUCAUGGAGAGGAUUUUUAUUUUAAUAUUCCAUUUGUGGCCCUCUUCUGAAUAAUUGCCCCAAAUGGGGUGACCAGUGAUAAGGAGUGAUUGAUAUAAUGAAUCGGGGUGGGGGAGUGGGACGGUGGCUGAAGAAUGAAGUAAGUACAUGUUUAACUUGGAUCUCUGGGAUAUGAUUUGUAAAAUCUUAAUAAGGUAAAAUUAUAAUAAGUAUUAUAAAGGGAGGAAAAUGUAAGCAGAUCCUCAAGAAACUCUGUAAAUGGAGUCCUCCAAACCCUUGAAAAUUAUUCCAUUGUUGUGCCAUGUCUUACUUCCUGUGAAGUAUAUUCCUGUGAGCAGUCUUGCUGCCCAAAGCAGAAACCGUGCCCUAAGGAUUCAGCCCUUUCAUGUUACUGCUUAUAAUGAAUCUCGGGACUCAGAUGUGUCAGUGGUUACUUCAAUCUUCCUCUAAACCUCAGCUCAACAAAAGUUACACUUUCACUCUGGCUAUCUUUUCACUAGCAGCCUUAUUUCCGUAUGUGGGCCCACCUCUCUCUUCCUCCUGCUUUCCAGUUCUUGAACCAUAUUUAAACCUACUCUGUCAUUGUUCUUGGAAAGGAUAUGUCAGUUCACUCUUCUGUGGUUCCAAUCACUGUUCCCUUAAUUCUCUAGACCAAAACACCCUUCCAGGGACAAAUGCUUAAUAAAUGCUUUUUCAACCAUUUUUGUUCCGUGUAAAGGACAGACUCUUAUGUGAAAAGAAAUGUAUUUUGAUAUUGCAGAAGUUACUGACAUUCCAAGAUGUGGUUGUGGAUUUCACCUAGGAUGAAUGGGGGCUCUUGGAGCCAGUGCAGAAGGACCUGUUCAGGGAUGUGAUGCUGGAGAAUUUUGUCCCCCUUGGGCUUCCAGAUUUCAAGCCAUAUGCUUGAAAUCUCCCAGUUGGAUAAAAGAGAAGCACCAGGGUUGCCAGCUGGAAGCCUUUAACUUGAUUUUCUUCAUGAAUGUAAUACAGUUGGAUAAAAGUACCGUCAGGAUGCCCAAUGGAGAGUUUUUGAAGCAAAUGCAAAACAAUAUUUGAAUGUAAUUGACUAUGAUAGAAUCUCAGUAGGUGAGAAACUUAGCAAAUAUUAUAAAUGCAAGAAGCCCUUCAUUAAUCAUUCAAACCAUAUUUCUCAACAUGGAACAGAUGCUCAAGGAAAACAUACCAAACAUGAAAUAGGUGGAAAAAUCAAUAACAGUAAACAAAAUAGCUGUUUGUCAAUCAGAUAAUACUGGAGAGAAUCUGUUUACAUGUAAUGAGUUUGGACAAACCUUCAACAAAAUUCAAAGCCUAUCUCAACAACAAAGAAUUCAUAGUGGAGAGAAGUCAUUUGAAUGUAAAGGAUAUAAGAAAGCCUUUAGCAGAAAGGGGAAAUCUAUAAACAUCAGAGAAUUCAAGGUGGAGAGAAAUCCUAUUUAUGCAAUGAAUUGGCAAAGCCUUUAGCCAAAAGGGAACCCUUUGUAAAUAUAAGAAGAUUCACAGUGGUGGAAAACCCUAUGUAUGUAAUGAAUGUGGCAAAACUUUCAAGUAUAGGCGACAUCUUGAAAUAGGUAAAAUCAUUCUGGAAAAAAACCUUGUAAAUGUAAUGUUUGUGAGAAAGUCUUCAGUAAAAAACCUUACUUAGAAAAACAUUAAAAAAAAAUUCAUUCAGAAGAGAAACUCUGUAAAUGUUCCAACUGUGGGAAAGCCUUCAUCAGUAACAACUAACCAAUUGAACAUCAAAGAAUUCACAUAGGAGAGAAGCCCUUUAAAUGUAAGGAAUGUGGGAAAGCCUUCAGCCAAAAGGAGUAACUCUAUGAACAUAACAGAAUUCAUAGCGGGGAGAAUUCUUAUGAAUGUAAUGAAUGUGGGAAAACCUUCAUUAGUAAUUGAAAUCUAUCAUGACAUCAAAUUAUACAUACUGGAGAGAAAGUCUAUAUAUGUAACAUGUGGGAAAACUUUCAUCAAUAGUAACUACCUAAUUCAACAUCAAAGGAUUCAUACUGAUGAGAAGCCAAAAAAAUGUAAUGAAUGUGGGAAAGCCUUCAUCAGUAAUCAAGACCUAUCAAGACAUCUAAUAAUCCAUACUAGAGAAAACCCCUAUAAAUGUAAUGAAUGUGAGAAAGCUUUCAAGAGUAAUAGCAACAUAAAAAAAUCCAUAAUUUACAAGGAGCUCAAUAAAUGUUAUGAAUGUGGAAAGUCCUUUAGCAGCAAUAGCUACUUACUUCAACAUAAGAAAAUUCAUACUGGAGAUAAGCCCUAUAAAUGUAAUGAAUGUAGAAAAGCUUUCAUUAGUAAUAGCUACGUAGUUGAACAUCAGAGAAUCCAUACUGGAGAGAAGCCUUUUAUAUGUCAAGAAUGUGGAAAUGAUCUCAGCACUAAAUUGUUCCUAAUUCAACAUCAAAGAAUCCAUAUUGGAGAGAAACUUUAUAAAUGUGAUGAAUGUAGGAAAACCUCUAUCAGUAAUUGAAAUCUACUACAACAUCAAAGAAUCCAUACUGGAGAGAAACUCCCUUCUACACUGAUUCCUUAAUUUGAAAAUGAAACCAAUGAAUGUAGUUCAAAGUCUGUGAGAGACUUCACAUUGGAAAUAAAUUGUUCAGAUAUAAUAAUGGAGUGGGAGGUCCAGGAAAUUUCACAGAAUCAAAGAAUUUCAGAGUUAGAAGACUCUAGAGAUCAUCUAUUUCUGCCUUUAUCUGGAAAAAAAAGUUAUUAGUGCAAAAUAGAACAAGUGUCAAGCAGCCUUUGUUAUAAGACCUCUAAUGAGAAUGAGGGAACAGUGACUCAUGAAAAGUUGACUUCUCUUGUAUGGUCUAAGCUAAUCUUUUAUUUUCUUUUUCUUUUUGGCAUUUUAUAUCCACUUCUCUUAAUUAUAGUAUCUAAAUAGAAAUGCCUCCCUCUUUGCUUUGACAAACUUUCGAAUAUUUAGUCAUCUGAUAUGUCCCUGAUAUUACUAUUUUUCCCCAAGUGAAAUUCCCUGAACUCAUCCUCAUGUGACAUAGAAGCCCUUUAUCUUUCUGUUCACCCUCUUUUCCACAGUCUUCAACAUAACAAUGUUCUUUCUACAUUUGAUGACAGGAUUCUAAUUGUGUUUUUAUUAGUCAUAGUAGACCUAUACUAUCAUCUCCAUUAUACUAGGUAUUCUGUCUCUUUUUUUUUUUUUAAACCCUUACCUUCCAUCUUGGAAUCAAUACUGUGUAUUGGUUCCAAGGCAGAAGAGUGGUAAGGGCUAGGCAAUGGGGGUCAAGUGACUUGCCCAGGGUCACACAGCUAGGAAGUGGAUAAGGCUAGAUUUGAACCUAGGAUGUCCCAUCUCUAGGCCUGGCUCUCAAUCCACUGAGCCACCCAGCUGCCCCCUAUUCUGUCUCUUCUAAUAUAGCUUAAGAUUGAAUUAACCUUUUUACUGUUCUUUUACACUUUAUAAUUCCUUUUAAGCUUGAUAUCCACUAAAGUCUCAGAUAUUCUUCAAAUGAACUGCUAUUUAGUCAUACUUCUCUUGCUUUGUACUUGUGCUAAAUAACAUUGGAGUCAGCAUAGAUUCCUGGGACUUUCUUUGCCUUCUAAAUUCAUAUUGAGCCAUUGGCAUUAAAUGAAAUUGUAAUUUAUUCAACAUUGCAGAAUCAAACUAUUAGAUAUUUUUCCCACCAGCUACAGACAUGGUUGUUUUGAGAGGGAAAUAUGACUAAGUUCCUAUGUCACUUUCUGAUCAUAUAAAAUUGCUAUAUGGUGGCAUAUUCUAGGUUCUGGGGAGAUGAUGUAAAAAAAUACUUUCUGUAUCUUGAAGGGUAUGAUACAUUUAAAAAUAACUGAUAUAAGCUGCAUUGAAGAUAAGCUUGAAUGUAUUUUAAUAAGGGAAUUGUGUAACUUUGCUUCCUGAACUUCCAACUUUCUGUGCAGAAUAAAAGUUCUGAACCUUUCCUUUAUCAUGAA